UACGAAGGGGGCAAGCGUUGUUCGGAAUUAUUGGGCGUAAAGGGAGCGUAGGCGGUUCGGCAAGUCUUUAGUGAAAUCUCUGGGCUCAACUCAGAGUCUGCUGGAGAAACUGCCGGGCUGGAGUAUGGGAGAGGUGAGUGGAAUUCCCAGUGUAGAGGUGAAAUUCGUAGAUAUUGGGAAGAACACCGGUGGCGAAGGCGGCUCACUGGCUCGUAACUGACGCUCAUGCACGACAGCGUGGGGAUCAAACAGG
rnacentral:rRNA from 1 species